rnacentral:rRNA from 1 species
UACGAAGGGGGCUAGCGUUGCUCGGAAUCACUGGGCGUAAAGGGUGCGUAGGCGGGUCUUUUAAGUCAGGGGUGAAAUCCCGAGGCUCAACCUCGGAACUGCCUUUGAUACUGGGGAUCUCGAGUCCGGGAGAGGUGAGUGGAACUGCGAGUGUAGAGGUGAAAUUCGUAGAUAUUCGCAAGAACACCAGUGGCGAAGGCGGCUCACUGGCCCGGAACUGACGCUGAGGUGCGAAAGCGUGGGGAGCAAACAGGG